rnacentral:rRNA from 1 species
GAUGAACGCUAGCUACAGGCUUAACACACGCAAGUCGAGGGGCAUCAGGAAGAAAGCUUGCUUUCUUUGCUGGCGACCGGCGCACGGGUGAGUAACACGUAUCCAACCUGCCCUUUACUCGGGGAUAGCCUUUCGAAAGAAAGAUUAAUACCCGAUAGCAUAAUGAUUCCGCAUGGUUUCAUUAUUAAAGGAUUCCGGUAAAGGAUGGGGAUGCGUUCCAUUAGGUUGUUGGUGAGGUAACGGCCCACCAAGCCUUCGAUGGAUAGGGGUUCUGAGAGGAAGGUCCCCCACAUUGGAACUGAGACACGGUCCAAACUCCUACGGGAGGCAGCAGUGAGGAAUAUUGGUCAAUGGGCGCUAGCCUGAACCAGCCAAGUAGCGUGAAGGAUGAAGGCUCUAUGGGUCGUAAACUUCUUUUAUAUAAGAAUAAAGUGCAGUAUGUAUACUGUUUUGUAUGUAUUAUAUGAAUAAGGAUCGGCUAACUCCGUGCCAGCAGCCGCGGUAAUACGGAGGAUCCGAGCGUUAUCCGGAUUUAUUGGGUUUAAAGGGAGCGUAGGUGGACUGGUAAGUCAGUUGUGAAAGUUUGCGGCUCAACCGUAAAAUUGCAGUUGAUACUGUCAGUCUUGAGUACAGUAGAGGUGGGCGGAAUUCGUGGUGUAGCGGUGAAAUGCUUAGAUAUCACGAAGAACUCCGAUUGCGAAGGCAGCUCACUGGACUGCAACUGACACUGAUGCUCGAAAGUGUGGGUAUCAAACAGGAUUAGAUACCCUGGUAGUCCACACAGUAAACGAUGAAUACUCGCUGUUUGCGAUAUACAGUAAGCGGCCAAGCGAAAGCAUUAAGUAUUCCACCUGGGGAGUACGCCGGCAACGGUGAAACUCAAAGGAAUUGACGGGGGCCCGCACAAGCGGAGGAACAUGUGGUUUAAUUCGAUGAUACGCGAGGAACCUUACCCGGGCUUAAAUUGCAGUGGAAUGAUGUGGAAACAUGUCAGUGAGCAAUCACCGCUGUGAAGGUGCUGCAUGGUUGUCGUCAGCUCGUGCCGUGAGGUGUCGGCUUAAGUGCCAUAACGAGCGCAACCCUUAUCUUUAGUUACUAACAGGUUAUGCUGAGGACUCUAGAGAGACUGCCGUCGUAAGAUGCGAGGAGGGUGGGGAUGACGUCAAAUCAGCACGGCCCUUACGUCCGGGGCUACACACGUGUUACAAUGGGGGGUACAGAAGGCAGCUAGCGGGUGACCGUAUGCUAAUCCCAAAAUCCUCUCUCAGUUCGGAUCGAAGUCUGCAACCCGACUUCGUGAAGCUGGAUUCGCUAGUAAUCGCGCAUCAGCCACGGCGCGGUGAAUACGUUCCCGGGCCUUGUACACACCGCCCGUCAAGCCAUGGGAGCCGGGGGUACCUGAAGUACGUAACCGCAAGGAUCGUCCUAGGGUAAAACUG